rnacentral:rRNA from 1 species
ACAUGCAAGUCGAGCGGACAGAAGGGAGCUUGCUCCCGGAUGUUAGCGGCGGACGGGUGAGUAACACGUGGGUAACCUGCCUGUAAGACUGGGAUAACUCCGGGAAACCGGAGCUAAUACCGGAUAGUUCCUUGAACCGCAUGGUUCAAGGAUGAAAGACGGUUUCGGCUGUCACUUACAGAUGGACCCGCGGCGCAUUAGCUAGUUGGUGGGGUAAUGGCUCACCAAGGCGACGAUGCGUAGCCAACCUGAGAGGGUGAUCGGCCACACUGGGACUGAGACACGGCCCAAACUCCUACGGGAGGCAGCAGUAGGGAAUCUUCCGCAAUGGACGAAAGUCUGACGGAGCAACGCCGCGUGAGUGAUGAAGGUUUUCGGAUCGUAAAGCUCUGUUGUUAGGGAAGAACAAGUGCGAGAGUAACUGCUCGCACCUUGACGGUACCUAACCAGAAAGCCACGGCUAACUACGUGCCAGCAGCCCCGGUAAUACGUAGGUGGCAAGCGUUGUCCGGAAUUAUUGGGCGUAAAGGGCUCGCAGGCGGUUUCUUAAGUCUGAUGUGAAAGCCCCCGGCUCAACCGGGGAGGGUCAUUGGAAACUGGGAAACUUGAGUGCAGAAAAGGAGAGUGGAAUUCCACGUGUACCGGUGAAAUGCGUAGAGAUGUGGAGGAACACCAGUGGCGAAGGCGACUCUCUGGUCUGUAACUGACGCUGAGGAGCGAAAGCGUGGGGAGCGAACAGGAUUAGAUACCCUGGUAGUCCACGCCGUAAACGAUGAGUGCUAAGUGUUAGGGGGUUUCCGCCCCUUAGUGCUGCAGCUAACGCAUUAAGCACUCCGCCUGGGGAGUACGGUCGCAAGACUGAAACUCAAAGGAAUUGACGGGGGCCCGCACAAGCGGUGGAGCAUGUGGUUUAAUUCGAAGCAACGCGAAGAACCUUACCAGGUCUUGACAUCCUCUGACAACCCUAGAGAUAGGGCUUUCCCUUCGGGGACAGAGUGACAGGUGGUGCAUGGUUGUCGUCAGCUCGUGUCGUGAGAUGUUGGGUUAAGUCCCGCAACGAGCGCAACCCUUGAUCUUAGUUGCCAGCAUUCAGUUGGGCACUCUAAGGUGACUGCCGGUGACAAACCGGAGGAAGGUGGGGAUGACGUCAAAUCAUCAUGCCCCUUAUGACCUGGGCUACACACGUGCUACAAUGGACAGAACAAAGGGCUGCGAGACCGCAAGGUUUAGCCAAUCCCAUAAAUCUGUUCUCAGUUCGGAUCGCAGUCUGCAACUAGACUGCGUGAAGCUGGAAUCGCUAGUAAUCGCGGAUCAGCAUGCCGCGGUGAAUACGUUCCCGGGCCUUGUACACACCGCCCGUCACACCACGAGAGUUUGUAACACCCGAAGUCGGUGAGGUAACCUUUAUGGAGCCAGCCGCCGAAG